rnacentral:miRNA from 1 species
GGUCUUUCAGUCUGGUUGUAGGGAUACAGUGAUCAGGUUACGAGGGAUUUCUCAAGUAACAACCUCGAAGCUCGAUCACGAUAUCCCUAUGACUUAGGUAACAACAGGUUUAACCCAUUUUCU